rnacentral:rRNA from 1 species
GUAGUCUCGCACAGAUGCAUAUCAAUAAGCGGAGGAAAAGAAACUAACAAGGAUUCCCUCAGUAACGGCGAGUGAAGCGAGAAGAGCUCAAAUUUGAAAUCUUGAAAGGUCACCUUUCACGAAUUGUAGUUUAAAGAAGUGUUUUCUGUUACGAUCGUAAUAUAAGUUCUUUGGAAUAGGACAUCACAGAGGGUGAGAAUCCCGUCUAUGAUUGCGAUUUGUAGCUUUGUGAUACACUUUCAAAGAGUCGGGUUGUUUGGGAAUGCAGCCCAAAACGGGAGGUAAAUUUCUUCUAAGGCUAAAUAUUGGCGAGAGACCGAUAGCGAACAAGUACCGUGAGGGAAAGAUGAAAAGAACUUUGAAAAGAGAGUUAAAUAGUACGUGAAAUUGUCAAAAGGGAAGCGUUUAACACCAGUGUUGUUUUCUGAAAAUCAACCUCUGUUAGCUUUAUGCAUGUUUGUUUAGACCUAAUCAGCUAUCUUGCAUGUUCUAUUGUUUGCAGUGGUGCACUUUUCAGUUUACAGGUCAACAUCAGUUUUUUUUACCGUAAAAAAGUUAAAGAAAGGUAGCUCAUGGCUCCGGUCGUGAGUGUUAUAGUCUUUUUCCUAUGCGGUAGGAGAGACUGAGGUCUGCAGUGUAGGCUAUUUGGCUAGAUACUCAGGUGCUAUGUGAUACCAUUUCAUAAACAACUUGUUGAUUAUGUUUUGUCUAUUGCAUACUCGCUUGUACUAUCAUACCUACGCUUAGGAUGUUGAAGAUGUAGCACAUCAU